AAGCUUGCUUGUUGGGGUUGUAGGACACUCUAUACGGAGUUACAAAGGACGACAUUAGACGAAUCAUCUGGAAAGAUGAAUCAAAGAAGGUAAUAAUCCUGUAGUCGAAAAUGUUGUCUCUCUUGAGUGGAUCCUGAGUACGACGGAGCACGUGAAAUUCCGUCGGAAUCUGGGAGGACCAUCUCCUAAGGCUAAAUACUCUCUAGUGACCGAUAGUGAACCAGUACCGUGAGGGAAAGGUGAAAAGCACCCCGGAAGGGGAGUGAAAUAGAACCUGAAACCGUGUGCUUACAAGUAGUCAGAGCCCGUUAAUGGGUGAUGGCGUGCCUUUUGUAGAAUGAACCGGCGAGUUACAAUUUGAUGCAAGGUUAAGCAGUAAAUGUGGAGCCGUAGCGAAAGCGAGUCUGAAUAGGGCGUUUAGUAUUUGGUCGUAGACCCGAAACCAGGUGAUCUACCCUUGGUCAGGUUGAAGUUCAGGUAACACUGAAUGGAGGACCGAACCGACUUACGUUGAAAAGUGAGCGGAUGAACUGAGGGUAGCGGAGAAAUUCCAAUCGAACCUGGAGAUAGCUGGUUCUCUCCGAAAUAGCUUUAGGGCUAGCCUCAAGUGAUGAUUAUUGGAGGUAGAGCACUGUUUGGACGAGGGGCCCCUCUCGGGUUACCGAAUUCAGACAAACUCCGAAUGCCAAUUAAUUUAACUUGGGAGUCAGAACAUGGGUGAUAAGGUCCGUGUUCGAAAGGGAAACAGCCCAGACCACCAGCUAAGGUCCCAAAAUAUAUGUUAAGUGGAAAAGGAUGUGGCGUUGCCCAGACAACUAGGAUGUUGGCUUAGAAGCAGCCAUCAUUUAAAGAGUGCGUAAUAGCUCACUAGUCGAGUGACACUGCGCCGAAAAUGUACCGGGGCUAAACAUAUUACCGAAGCUGUGGAUUGUCCUUUGGACAAUGGUAGGAGAGCGUUCUAAGGGCGUUGAAGCAUGAUCGUAAGGACAUGUGGAGCGCUUAGAAGUGAGAAUGCCGGUGUGAGUAGCGAAAGACGGGUGAGAAUCCCGUCCACCGAUUGACUAAGGUUUCCAGAGGAAGGCUCGUCCGCUCUGGGUUAGUCGGGUCCUAAGCUGAGGCCGACAGGCGUAGGCGAUGGAUAACAGGUUGAUAUUCCUGUACCACCUAUAAUCGUUUUAAUCGAUGGGGGGACGCAGUAGGAUAGGCGAAGCGUGCGAUUGGAUUGCACGUCUAAGCAGUAAGGCUGAGUAUUAGG
rnacentral:rRNA from 1 species